ACGUUCGACAGAUGGUUGGCCCACGCCGCUGGCUUCCCGAGCCAGCGGCCCAUGGUAGUGGGCUUGAGCGCUUCGAAGCCGCCGUGCGUU
rnacentral:tRNA from 1 species